CCCUUAGAUGUUCUGGGCCGCACGCGCGCUGCACUGACGAAUGCAACGAGCUUAUAACCUUGGCCGAAAGGUCUGGGUAAUCUCCAAAUUUCGUCGUGAUGGGGAUAGAUUAUUGCAAUUAUUAAUCUUCAACGAGGAAUGCCUAGUAAGCGCAAGUCAUCAGCUUGCGUUGAUUACGUCCCUGCCCUUUGUACACACCGCCCGUCGCUCCUACCGAUUGAAUGGUCCGGUGAAGCGUUCGGACCGUGGCCUUUGGACGGUUCGCCGUCUGUUGGCUGCGGGAAGUUCGUUAAACCUUAUCAUUUAGAGGAAGGAGAANUCGUAACA
rnacentral:rRNA from 1 species